UGUCCACAAUUAGCCAUUGUUUAGCUCCUUCUUAUAAGUGACAACAUGUGGUAUUUUGUUUUCUGCUCCUGUGUUACAGGAUAAUGUAGGAUAAUGGCUUCCAACUGCAUCCAUGUUGCUGCAAGGAACAUGAUUUCUUUCUUUUUUAUGGCUGGGUAGUAUUCUGUGGUGUAUAUAUACAACAUUUUCUUUAUCCUAUCUCCACCCUUUCAGGGCCUAGGAGCUGACAAAGUCCUGUGCAGGGGGCACCUCUGGAUAGUUUCACAGCUGGCACAUGCCUAAAGUGAUUUAGGAUUAGAUAGCCCUUCCCCUCCCAGGCCACAGCAAAUAAUUAUUAGUGGAAGAAGCAAGGACUGAUAUCAUCGUGAUUUUGCUCUGUUCAAAUUCAUUUGUUUCUUAGACCAGGAAAUAACUGAUAUACCUGGUUAAUGAUCUGACUUUGGAUGUACGAGACAAAUACUUUUUAGUUAGUGUGCCAGCCAGCAGGUGCUCUCAAAUGAAACUGUUUUGAAAACUUCUGGAUAUCUGGGAAAUAUUUCUGUAGGAUGUAGAAUAAAAAA
rnacentral:lncRNA from 1 species